AUUGAACGCUGGCGGCAGGCCUAACACAUGCAAGUCGAGCGGAUGAAGGGAGCUUGCUCCUGGAUUCAGCGGCGGACGGGUGAGUAAUGCCUAGGAAUCUGCCUGGUAGUGGGGGAUAACGUCCGGAAACGGGCGCUAAUACCGCAUACGUCCUGAGGGAGAAAGUGGGGGAUCUUCGGACCUCACGCUAUCAGAUGAGCCUAGGUCGGAUUAGCUAGUUGGUGGGGUAAAGGCCUACCAAGGCGACGAUCCGUAACUGGUCUGAGAGGAUGAUCAGUCACACUGGACCUAGACACCGGCCCAGCCCCCUCGGGAAGGCAGCGGUGGGAAAUAUUGAACAAUGGCGGAAAGCCUGAUCCGGCCAGGCGGGGUGUGUGAGAAGGUCUUCGGAUUGUAAAGCACUUUAAGUUGGGAGGAAGGGCAGUAAGUUAAUACCUUGCUGUUUUGACGUUACCAACAGAAUAAGCACCGGCUAACUUCGUG
rnacentral:rRNA from 1 species